rnacentral:lncRNA from 1 species
CCGUUACCCAAUGUCCAGAUAUUUAUUGAAUGACUCCUAAGGGCAUUGUUUUGAAGCUGGGAUAAAGCAAUGCACCAGACAAAGUUUCUGCCCUCAUCAAGCUGCUGUUCUGCUCGACACGGAGGGCACCACAAAGAAGAAAAUUUCACCAAGGCAAAUACAGUAAUUCAAUGUAAAUAUACAAUCCAUAUAUGUGAAAAGACUUCCAGACUGACAUCUGAAAACCAAAAGAACUUCG